rnacentral:snRNA from 1 species
GUGCUCACUACAGCAGCACAUAUACUAAAAUGGAACAAUACGGAGAAACGAUUAGGCAAUGGCCCCUGAACAAGGAUGACAUGAAAAUUCAUGAAAUGUUCCAUAUUCUU